GCGAGUUCAACUCUCUAUAACCAUUGUGAACGAACUGCUAUGUUGCUUCGGCAGCGCAGGCUCCAGGGCUCGCCAGCCUCGGGGCCUCCUGCCGACAGAACGUAAACUCUUGUCAGCACUGUAUCUCUGAGUGACUUAUUCAAUAAGUUA
rnacentral:misc_RNA from 1 species